rnacentral:rRNA from 1 species
UACGUAGGGGGCAAGCGUUGUCCGGAUUUAUUGGGCGUAAAGAGCGUGUAGGCGGCUAGGUAGGUCCGUUGUGAAAACUCGAGGCUCAACCUCGAGACGCCGAUGGAAACCAUCUAGCUAGAGUCCGGAAGAGGAGAGUGGAAUUCCUGGUGUAGCGGUGAAAUGCGCAGAUAUCAGGAAGAACACCGGUGGCGAAGGCGGCCUGCUGGGCAGUUUAGCUGACACUGAGGCGCGACAGCGUGGGGAGCAAACAGG